GAGCCAAUAAGUGCCGAAUCAUUCGUGUUAUCGAUUUUGUUAGAAACUGUGUAUACAGCAGUUGAGUUGACAUCCAAAAAACAUGAUGGAAAGUCUGUGACUUAACAAACCUGUCAAAAGUAUAAAAAGGCAUGUCAUUGGUUAGAAAUUGUCGACAUUUUUUAAAGUUUAUAUCAUGGACAGUUUAAAGGAUUAAAGAUAUUAGGAAACAUCAGUUUAUUAAAAUUUAUGAUGAUAGUUUACAGUUCUAUUGAAUCAAUACAAGUGUGCAGCGUCAACGGAAGUAAAUCAGCAAUUAUUUUAAGGAGAUGAUGCCAAUGAUUCACCAUUAGAAGAUAUGACGGUAACAGUGGUCCAGAACUUGGCUCAACCAGAGUUCCACCAACAUUGCAACAUGCACACAACCAGCAAAACAUACCAAGACUGCCGAAUGUUUGGUCAGGAAAAAGCAUCCCACAAUGUUGCGACAGGCCCAUGUUUCAGUUUAUCGAGACUAGUCGUGAAACACAGACUUCUGAUUCAUGGAGUGCGGCAAACAUAUCUGUGCGACUCGUUCACUCCACUGUAAAGACCCGCACGGCAUUAAAAUGGAUAUCAUCCGACGUUUGCAAACGAUGGCUGCAUGAGGUCUGCGUCUCACAACCUACAUCCCAAGAUAGCUUUGUGUGUGAUGUUUGUAUUGCACAAUAUAGUUGAUGUAUUGAAACCAGGCUUUAAAAAUAAAUCAAGGUCAACUACAAUUUAAAAUUAAAACUAGAAAUGGCGCGGCAGAGGCCGACGAGUAUCCCCACGCCGCAUGUUUGACCCAGGGGCGCCCUAGGUUUGGUAAUGGGGCCAUGCAUAGUCGAGGCUUUGUUGAUUCUGGUGGCGGUGAAAAUGUUAAAAUCGAAGUCCUUAAUACAAGAGUAAAAUUCACUUGGAUUUAGGUCCUCAUCCUGCUCUCCUAAAAAAUCUAAUACUGAAUCAACUUCACUGACGCCCAUUAUGUACAUAUCAUCCUCAUUGGAAUGAGAUGGCUGAACUUGCUCUGUUAUAGCCAAUCUUCAUGCUUCUGCUUUGGAAAAGUUAUGUUUUGAGGUUAAAUGGUUGACUAAAUAGUAGCGUCUCAGAAAUUUUAUAUCGCAAUCUUGUACACAACAAUGAAAAUGUUAAAUUUCAUGUCUGUCAUUGAUGUGCCUGUUCAAGAGUCCUUUUUGCUUUAAAUUGUUUGUCACAUUUUUCACACUUGAACAUUUUGAAAGAUUUUCAUAAUGAGUCUAAAAGUGUGAUUGAACAAAUUGAAAGUUUCAGCCCUUUUAUAGAUUCUUGAGGCGCUAUUCCAUGAGUUUCUCAUGCUUUUUAUGCUUGACUGCAUUCUAUCUCUUCUCUAAAAUACAGGUGUCCCUUUGCACCAAUA